rnacentral:rRNA from 1 species
UACGGAGGGUGCAAGCGUUAUCCGGAUUCACCGGGUUUAAAGGGUGCGUAGGAGGGCAGGUAAGUCAGUGGUGAAAUCUCCGAGCUUAACUUGGAACUGCCGUUGAUACUAUCUGCCUUGAAUAUUGUGGAGGUGAGCGGAAUAUGUCAUGUAGCGGUGAAAUGCUUAGAUAUGACAUAGAACACCAAUUGCGAAGGCAGCUCGCUACACAUAUAUUGACUCUGAGGCACGAAAGCGUGGGGAUCAAACAGG